GACGAACGCUGGCGGCGCGCUUAACACAUGCAAGUCGAACGGUAAGGCCCUUCGGGGUACACGAGUGGCGAACGGGUGAGUAACACGUGGGUGAUCUGCCCUGCACUUCGGGAUAGCCCGGGGAACUGGGGCCAAUUCCCGAUAGGAACCUGGGAAGCCAUGCCUGGGGUGGAAAGCCUUUGCGGUGUGGGAUGGGCCCGCGGCCUAUCAGCUUGUUGGUGGGGUGAUGGCCUACCAAGGCGACGACGGGUAGCCGGCCUGAGAGGGUGACCGGCCACACUGGGACUGAGAUACGGCCCAGACUCCUACGGGAGGCAGCAGUGGGGAAUAUUGCACAAUGGGCGCAAGCCUGAUGCAGCGACGCCGCGUGAGGGAUGACGGCCUUCGGGUUGUAAACCUCUUUCAGCACCGACGAAGCGCAAGUGACGGUAGGUGCAGAAGAAGGACCGGCCAACUACGUGCCAGCAGCCGCCGUAA
rnacentral:rRNA from 1 species